UCCGUGUGGGAGGGAGCCCCUGUGGGAGGGAGCCCGGGCCGUAUUUCAGAAGGAAACACACAAAUGUACAAAUAAACAGUAGGCGGCCUUUUAAUUUCACUUUAGGAACUGACUCUGCAAUUUCGGAGAGGCAAAAUACGCUGUGCGGAUGGCGUGUUUAAAGAGCAAUGAAAAAUAAAAUAAUUUAUCAGCAGGAUCCUUCGAGUGCUCCAUAACAGCCUGUCAGGGCUGCUUUGCUUGUGCUCGGAGAAUUCCUUCAGAUUUUCCCUCCAAGUAAUGCAGAUAGAGAGAGAGAAGAAGAAAAAGUGUGUUAUACUCCCAGAGCUUUCUCUGUACUCAUGUGGAAAUGGGCCAUCAUCAAUAGAACAGGAAUGUGAGACAACAGCAUGGACAGCAGACAGCAUCUAGGUCUUCUGUAGGGGAAAAAAAUGUCAAGUGUUGAAAAUGAAUGGGCCUGCACCCCAGAAAAAGGUGAGGGAGGAUUCCCUGGGCACCCAUCUGGCUGGGAAGGAGAAGGGAGGGUCUAGAAAAGGAGACAAAUUCAUGCAGUAGGAAAACAACUUACAGAUAGAGGGUUUCAGGGUUAUUAAAGAGUGCAAGGACUUGAUUACAGAACUUUAUUUUGAGCAUGAGAGUAUUAAUGAAGACAGAUCAUGCAUCAAGUAGUUGUAAACAAAGAGCUCGGGUUUUCUGGAAAUUAAAAUGGUUGUGUCUGCAAUGCUCUGUGGCAAACACUGGA